CUAUUGAAGCAUAGCCAGUUUGGGAAGAAUGCUGUUACCCUCAAGGAAGAAACUGGAUUGUUCUCCAACCUGGCUCUUUAGUUACCAG
ensembl:miRNA